rnacentral:rRNA from 1 species
AUUGAACGCUGGCGGCAGGCCUAACACAUGCAAGUCGAACGAGUGGCGGACGGGUGAGUAAUGUCUGGGAAACUGCCUGAGGGAGGGGGAUAACUACUGGAAACGGUAGCUAAUACCGCAUACCAUCGGAUGUGCCCAGAGGGGAUUAGCUAGUAGGUGGGGUAACGGCUCACCUAGGCGACGAUCCCUAGCUGGUCUGAGAGGAUGACCAGCCACACUGGAACUGCACAACGGUCCAGACUCCUACGGGAGGCAGCAGUGGGGAAUAUUGGACAAUGGGCGCAAGCCGGAUGCAGCCAUGCCGCGUGUAUGAAGAAGGCCUUCGGGUUGUAAAGUACUUUCAGCGAGGAGGCGUUACUCGCAGAAGAAGCACCGGCUAACUCAGUGCCAGCAGCCGCGGUAAUUC